rnacentral:rRNA from 1 species
CAGUAAAUGGGCGCAGCCUGAUGCAGCCAUGCCGCGUGUAUGAAGAAGGCCUUCGGGUUGUAAAGUACUUUCAGCGGGGAGGAAGGGAGUAAAGUUAAUACCUUUGCUCAUUGACGUUACCCGCGCAAGAAGCCCCGGCUAUAUCCGUGCCAGCAGCCGCGGUAAUA